ACACACACACACACACUUUUGCUACACUCCAGUUAGGGGUUUUCCAAGAUAGAGUAUAUGGAUCUGGAGGAUGGCACAACCAUACUAUGAGGUUAUUGGUUAGGACAAUGUCUGCUUUCCUUAUUCCUCCCUCCACAUCACUAUUUAUUAUUAUUGUAAUUUUAAUAAAUAGUACAAUUAUUGUUAUUUUUAAUGUGUAACUGUAGAAUAGUGGUUUUUAAUAAUGACAUCUCUAAAAUGAACAUUCUUAUUGUUUUGAACAUAAGCUUAUUUGAUUCUCUCCUUAGAAAUAAAGAAAUGGACUAUAGAGGGAUCUGCAAUAAAUCUGAAAGGGCAGAUAUAUAAUAUAAUGGUAAAUGUUAGAUUAUUGUGGUUUUCUUUAGUGCAAGCUUAUAGGCAGUCUAUCAUCUCUGCUUGGCAGGGUGGGCCUCCAGCACAACCUCUGAAAUCAAUCAAGCUUGUGGAUUUGAGGUUAUAGGCAAGGACAUUUCACUCUAGUAAAUGAAAAAUGAAUGGAAGCAAACAUAAAAACAGUUGGGAUUUUGUAGGAGUUACUGUUUUAUUUUUAAGCCAAAUAUAGUUAUUAUUUGUUUUAUCACAGAAACAGAAAUAAAUAUAAAAACUUUGAGUUGAAAAUACACUUUAAAAUGUUAGGUUCUAAUCUCAAAUAACCAAAGGCUGUUUUCAAAGUUUAAAGCUUUUCUGAUGAACAUAUAUAAAUCUAGAUAUUUGAAAUCCUAUGUGAUUUUUUUCACAUGGGCCUUAAGAGAUUAGAAUAAAUCUUAAGUAAUUAAAUUCAGUGCAAGGAGAGCAAAUAAUUAGAAUUUUGUGCCAUGUAACAAGAGUGUAUUGUUGGUAACUACUUUUCAAUGUCCCCAGUACUGUUUGUUAGGCUACCACUGUGCCUUAGGGUGAUACUUGUUCUCCUACACCCAGCCUUUCCAGCUUUGCUGGGAGCACUCAGACCACUCAGGGUUGAGUAGAGCUAAAAAAUUAUGUCCUAGAACCCUGAUCUGUAAGCCAGGAUGCGAAUAUGUUCCCAGUGGAGUUUUUGGUAUGUGCAGUUCAUAGGGCUAUCUCUUAAUAAUUCCUAUUAUUUAUGAGGUCCUUUAGAGUUUUCACAGCCUGUUGCAUGCAUAAUCAUUUAAUCCUCACAACCCUUCUAAGAAAUAUAAGUAAUAUUAUCCCUAUUUCACAGACAAAGAAACUGAAGCUGAGAAUGUGAAGUCAUUUGUCCAGGUUAUGCAGCUGCAGAGUAGCAGUGAUGGGGCACUCAGGUCCUGGCUUGUGGUUUUCUGGAUCAAGCAGAACAAAAAGUGAGUGAUGAAAAAUGAGGGAGAGACUAUGAUGUCACCAUAACCAAGUCCUUUUCAGGCAAUGUGGGACUGUUGUUUGAGAAAAAAAAUAAAUGAGCAACCAACAGCAAAGUUUUAACAGAAUGUUUGGAUAUUGUCUGUCAGAGUUACCUGUAGGUGAUGAGAUUUGGAUUUUAUUCUUUACCAUUUUUUAAGUACUAUUAAGGAAAUUUGCUUCAUGUCUUUUGUUAUUGUUGUUAAGUGUUUACUUAUAUAUUCUGGUGAUUUUGAUGAGUGAAGUUUUAAAACUAAUUUGAAAAGUGGAAUAAAUGCAUUACUAUAAAAUGAAGUACACAGUUACCAAGGAUGGUCAACUUUUAACUUUUGCCUUGAAUCACUUCUCUAUUGAAUUGAACAUAAACUUUUGUUAACAGAUAAAAUGAAGCAAAAAGUCAUCUGUAAACCACAUAUUUUUUCCCAGGGAUAAAGGAGCACUCUUACUGGUAACUGAAGUACUCACAGAGAGGUUCAUGCCUUAUAUUCCAUUUACUAAAGUUCUUGAAAGUGAAAUUUGUUUAAACACCUUUGUAAAUAUUCUUCUUUUAAAUGACAGUGUGCAAAUUCAUAAAUUCCUAUCAUAGGAAGGUCUAAAUCUAUUUGCUAGCACUUGUAAAUUAGAAAUUUGGCACAUAUAAUAAGUGCAGUCAUGCAAGAAACAACCACCAAGCUCAACCUGAAUUAUUUUAUCUGGUUUUCUACCUGGAAGGCUUCUUUCUUUUACAGUGCAAUUAAUUAACAAACAGCACCAAUGUUGGUACAUUUGACAGAUUAUAAGAACAAAGGCUUUUGUGUUGGGGCUUUCAUGGGUCUCAUAAGUAGACAGUUCCCAUAAAUCCUGCAUAACAGAUCUUUUGAUUCUACCUCAAAUGCUUUAUCCUAUUCCAGUUGGUACUCAUCGUCACAGGAGGCUGGCUACUUGUAAAUUUCUCUAUUGCUGUUUUCAUUUCCUCUUCAGUAAUAGAGGUAAUCAGUUUCUCAUUAUCCAGAAGAUCCAAUUUUGGCAUUUUAAUUUCAGCCCAAAUUUUCAUACUCUCUAUUAUCAGCUGCUAGCUCAGUUGCAAAUAUUAGUUUGGAGACCAAAAAAAAGGGGAAAACUUUUUACAUCACUGCUAUCUAAUGAUCAAAUACAGAGUGUAUUGAAAUAAAAAAGCUUUUUAUUUUGAUUUUUAUUUUUAUUAACAUAUCAGUUACUUUUGACAUU